ACCUAUGACGUUUUAUUUUCUCUCCCUCCCUGUAAAACAUGGAUGCUAUUAGUCCAUAUUCCUCAUAGGAAUGUUCUGUAAUGCUCUGGACCACAGUUCUCCAUGUUCUAGAACUUUUCUUUCUGUUCCAUCAAAACUUUCCAGCACAGUGUUCCAGUCCUUGGGGCUCCAAGUAAUGAUGCCAGGGCUGAUCAAACAGGAGGGUUUGCUGCCCAGUCCAAAGCAAAGCAUGACGUCAGACUUUCUUACUGACAAGGAAUGAGGCUGGAGCAUUCUGACCUUUUUUUCUGUGUAAAGGGCCUCCAGGUUGGGGGUGGGGCUGCUCAUUCUCGGCAGAUCCCGUCUCUGCUCAUGUGCAGGCCUGAGAAUGGAAAAAAGGAAUUAAAGAAGUAGAACCAGAGUACUUGCAGGAGGUACUUGGAGGAGGGUGAGCCGACAGAGCACAGCAGAAGCCUGGUGAUUCACAUGCCCUGCUUCCUGCUUCACUGUUUCCAGGUGGAUCUUUAUUGCUCCCUUUCUUCAGGGUCCUUCGGAUUCAACUUACUCUUCUUUUUCAAGUUUCUUAAGAGGUCCAGGAGACAUAAGCUAGCUGGGGGACAUCACCGGCAUAGUCAGGUCCCAUUUCUGGCUUAUCUCGCUGUGCUUCCUGUGCAUGCUUGAAAAGAUGAGCACUCAGCAUUCUGCUCCACCUGCCUCCCAGCCACGAUGGAUUCUUAUUCCUCUGAAACUCAGGAGCCUGGAAGAAAGCAGUGCUGAGGGCAAGACAGAGCCAGAGAGAAAUAAGGACUUAAACAGCAUCUGGGAUAUUUUGGCAAAGCUUCUGGCUGCCACCUGCCCAUGGCCUAAGAACUUGCCUGAGAGAUCAGAAGAGAGUGUUGGAUCCCCUGGAAAUGG